rnacentral:rRNA from 1 species
GUGAGGAAUAUUGCGCAAUGGAGGCAACUCUGACGCAGCCAUGCCGCGUGCAGGAAGAAGGCGCUACGCGUUGUAAACUGCUUUUAACCGGGAAGAAACCCCAGGACGUGUCCUGGGUUGACGGUACCGGAGGAAUAAGCACCGGCUAACUUCGUGCCAGCAGCCGCGGUAAUACGAAGGGUGCAAGCGUUAUCCGGAUUCAUUGGGUUUAAAGGGUGCGUAGGCGGAGCGUUAAGUCAGUGGUGAAAUCCUGCAGCUUAACUGUAGACUUGCCAUUGAUACUGGCGCUCUUGAGUGCGCUUGAAGUGGGCGGAAUGUGCCGUGUAGCGGUGAAAUGCUUAGAUAUGGCACAGAACACCAAUUGCGAAGGCAGCUCACUAAGGCGAUACUGACGCUGAGGCACGAAAGCGUGGGGAUCGAACAGGAUUAGAUACUCGAGUAGUCC